CGACGGCGACGUCGGUUCGACCCUGCGCGCCGCAGUCGUCGGGCGGCAGCCGACCGUGCGGCGUGCACCUUUGCGAAGAGGCUCUGAUCGUGUCGGAUACGGGACUCGAGAGGACGCGAUGCGACUUGUCGUCUGCUUCGAGAGUCACGGUAGGGUUGGAUACGGCAGUCGAGAGAGAGCCGAAGCGACUCGUCUUCUGCAGCAGUCAGAAGACGGCAGUCAGAAGAGACAGGAUUCGUCUCGUCGUCUGCUGCGAAGAUGACAGGCGAGUUGGAUAAGGAUGUCGAACAAUGUGAUGGCGACAGCUCGUCUGCUGCGAAGGUCACUGGUCGCGAGAAGUCGUGCGGAGGCUUUCGGACGUCAUUCGGAAGUCGACGGAAACAACAUCGCAAGCAACCUUGCUUCGUGGGACUCUUAUAAGCGCGAUGCGGAUCGUCUCCUCUUGCCAAGGUCACCUGAGGCUGCGCGGAGGCCGUGCGAAAGUCACACAGAAGUCGAGGUGUACGAAGCUGUUUUACAAAACUUGCAUUGUGUGCGACGAUUAGAACUCCUGAAGUGGCAUGCGCCUUCUUGUGUCACGCCAAGAUCAUUGGAAGACGUAGGGAAGGUCAAUGGCCGCCACAUGGAAGUAAUCGGAAACCUAACAAAAGUUUUCUUUGUGACUGUACCGUGCGCAACCGCCAUAAGGUACAUCGCGCAUGAUUGAGUGGUGAGAAGGUCGUUGUAGGCCGCAUGGAGGUCAAACGGACGUAGUGCAGAAGUUAUCGAUACGCGAACGAGUUUCCUACAGAAGUGGGUUGCAUUUGACGUACAUCGAAAAUGAUCGCGAGCGCCUUGUCGUGUAGUAUCCUUGGAAGUGAUUAGAAAAUCGGUUGAAGAAACACGGAGCCACCGGAAGGCACUUGCAUGCGUCACGUGCGUAAGUCAUGCGAAGAAACCAUAGUGUCCCAAGAAAAAGUAGAUUGUGUAUCGAUAUACGUCGUAUUCAAGAGACCUGAGCGUGACUCCGCACGGACCGACGUGCGUUCUUUGCCGCCCAAGAUAUCACGGAAGAUGUCAUAAGUGCUCCGAUGAUCACUUAGACACCUCUUUGGCACUGACAAGGAUCGAGAUGCGAGAGCAUCUGGCCACUUACGUCACUGACUGAUUCAGCGUAUAUCUGUGAAAGCCGUUGGUGGCAUUGUCAAACAUAAUUGAAGUACUUAUGAAAGUCAAACAGGUGUGCUUUUAUUUCGACAUUAGCGGAGAUCACCUCGUCGUUGCGCGUUAUGACGUGCGCGAUGCUGUCGCAUGAAGCGGCAUGGAAGAAGUUGCUGUCGACCCCCUUUGAACGCGAGAGGCGCAGUGACUGCUGCUGAGUUGGUCGACGUGUGUGAAACAGCCAGUAAACUAAAGUCACGUGGCAUUCAUUUAUGCGGAGCCCAUAUGGAUAUCACACAAAAAAGAGUAGGAAGGAGAAGACACGGAAGUUAGUGAGUUAACUACCGGCUGGCUACCCUGUGCUGGGGAAAGAGGUAAAAAGUACUUUCACUAGUCGGGACAUCGGACAUACAGGGUCAAUUUGUUCAGACUUCGUAUUUCCCCUCCUCGCUCGAUGCGCCAACGCAUCUGAACCCGCAGUUAUGAGGUUCAUACUUAGCUGCACCGGUCGUCUCUGUCACACGUUGCGUCCCUUUCGUGGAGAGUUUCCUGCAAGACAUCGAAUUCGCUGUCGGUUUGAUUCAAGUGGCUUUUCGAUUCAAGAUUGAACCAAGAUUCAAGUGAAUUUUUUUUCGUUACGCAAGAACUUAUCUGUUCCCCUGUGCUUUAUGGCAUGGUGAAGCGCGUCCGAAAACCUCACGCACCGCGUCAUAUCUCAUGGGCAGCUUCUCCACGCUUACGUUGAUGUCUGUACCAUCAACUUCCUAUAUAAUAAUUCCUCAGCCCAUACGUUGUGUUCGAACAACGUUGUCGUAUUCUUGUACUGUGGCCAUUUUCCCCGUGUGCUCUCGGUGGUGCACGUGAUGAAACACAUCAUGCGUGACGUCGUCGCUCCGUGAAGACUGCAAAGUAUGAAUGGCUCGACCACAGCCCUUCCCUUACGUUGCGAGUUACGUUUCCUCCUGCGAAUUCUGAUGUUCCUGUGAUUUGGCAGCGAGUGUUUCGUGUCGCCUUGGCUAUGCGCGGUAGCGCACUGCUUUGGACGCCACACUCACAACAUUUCUCGUGAUGAUUGUGUGUUGUGACAUAUGUUUCGGUGAUGACCCUGCAAAUUCACCGGCACACUGGUGUCACCACGGCCAAUCCGCCAUCAUGACGCGCUGUACAUCGUUCCUUGAAGGGUGAUGACUUACCAUGGCCGAAAUGGAUUCCACUGAUCCGAAACAAACGCAGCAGUGCUGCCCAAGCAGGAGAAGGUUCCAAAAGCAGGCCAUUCGAACUGGGACCACCCCUGCGACAGACUGCGGUGCGCAAACUUUCGCCGGAUGCCUUGCCGAGUCGGCACGCUGGUGGACAAACAACGCACGAGAGGACGACGUGGGGCUCAACCGCGACUUUGACAGAGAGAGCAAGAGAUGGGCGGGCUGACGGGCCGUCGACGAACGCUCCGGCAGUGGCAGGUCUUUCCGGCGGCGCUGACGAGCGGAUGACGGCUUCGAGUUGACGGCAUCACGAAGACGACCACAAGUGCCCUCAGCCGUUCGCCUGACUCGCUUUUGUUUCGCUCUGUCUUUUUUUUUUUUUUUUCGUCAAUUCCUCGCUUGCUCGUUUCUGCUAUGGCGCUGAUCACGUGGGCUUCUUCUACACACUGCGUGUCCUUGCCGGAACGUGCAGCUUGCCAGCUACUCGAGUCUCUUCUGCGGUAUGCAGUCGCCGCAAGCCACUCGACGCGUUGAAGUGCGCGCCUUCACCAAACAGCCAAUUGCUUGCUGCCUUCAGGGUUUCUCCGCCACCCGCAUUUUU